rnacentral:rRNA from 1 species
UACAGAGGGGGCAAGCGUUGUUCGGAAUUACUGGGCGUAAAGGGCGCGUAGGCGGCCUUCUAAGUCGAACGUGAAAUCCCUGGGCUCAACCCAGGAACUGCGUCCGAUACUGGAAGGCUUGAAUCCGGGAGAGGGAUGCGGAAUUCCAGGUGUAGCGGUGAAAUGCGUAGAUAUCUGGAGGAACACCGGUGGCGAAGGCGGCAUCCUGGACCGGUAUUGACGCUGAGGAGCGAAAGCAUGGGGAGCAAACAGG